GUGGGGAAUCUUAGACAAUGGGGGAAACCCUGAUCUAGCCAUGCCGCGUGAUCGAUGAAGGCCUUAGGGUUGUAAAGAUCUUUCGCUGGGGAAGAUAAUGACUGUACCCAGUAAAGAAGCCCCGGCUAACUCCGUGCCAGCAGCCGCGGUAAUACGGAGGGGGCUAGCGUUAUUCGGAAUUACUGGGCGUAAAGCGCACGUAGGCGGACUGGAAAGUUGGGGGUGAAAUCCCGGGGCUCAACCUCGGAACUGCCUUCAAAACUCCCAGUCUUGAGUUCGAGAGAGGUGAGUGGAAUUCCGAGUGUAGAGGUGAAAUUCGUAGAUAUUCGGAGGAACACCAGUGGCGAAGGCGGCUCACUGGCUCGAUACUGACGCUGAGGUGCGAAAGCGUGGGGAGCAAACAGGAUUAGAUACCCGUGUAGUCC
rnacentral:rRNA from 1 species